UCAGUUUAAAAGCCUCCAGUCUGGACCCCACAUAGACUCCCGCUCGCAGCCGACAAGCCUGAACCGCUGUGGUUCAGCUCCAGAGGACCCAAAAGCAGGAGAGUUGAAGAUCACCUGAAACGUUGCCACUCAGACAGGCUACGCCAGCCAGACCGAAAGAAACUCCUGAGCUAUUAUGGAACUAAGCUUACAGAUUGAUACCAAGGUAAGUAAGUUUUGGUCUUUCAAGUCAUUGCCAUGGUAUUAUCUCUAAAUAUUUAGAAAUUUUUCAUUUCUUUCUUUAGUGCAUAUAAUUUCUGCA
rnacentral:lncRNA from 1 species